rnacentral:RNase_P_RNA from 1 species
GGAGCGGGCUGGACGGUCGCUGGCGGGGUUUCCCGCUGGAGGAAGGUCCGGACUCCACAGGGCAGGGUGCUGGUCAACGGCCAGGCGCAGCAAGUCGAAAGACCCAAGGCGACGGAAAGUGGCACAGAGAACAGACCGCCGAAGGUGAAUCCUGAGGGCGCCCGGCCGGUGAAUUCCGGCCGGAGUCCACGGGGCUCGCCAGGCAAGGGUGAAACGGUGAGGUAAGAGCUCACCGCGUACGUGGCGACACGGACGGCACGCCAAACCCCACCCGGAGCAACACCGCAUAGGCACGCGUUCCGGCCGCAAGGCCGGGCAGGGCGGCCCGCCCGAGCGUGCGGGUUGGUGGCUAGAGCGCAGGGGCAACCCUGCGCCCAGAGGAAUGACCGUCGGACCGGGCGACCGGUCGACAGAAUCCGGCCUACAGGCCCGCUCCGACU